rnacentral:rRNA from 1 species
GACGAACGCUGGCGGCGUGCCUAAUACAUGCAAGUUGAGCGAUGAAGCUUGGUGCUUGCACCAAUUUGAAGAGCAGCGAACGGGUGAGUAACGCGUGGGGAAUCUGCCUUUGAGCGGGGGACAACAUUUGGAAACGAAUGCUAAUACCGCAUAACAACUUUAAACAUAAGUUUUAAGUUUGAAAGAUGCAAUUGCAUCACUCAAAGAUGAUCCCGCGUUGUAUUAGCUAGUUGGUGAGGUAAAGGCUCACCAAGGCGAUGAUACAUAGCCGACCUGAGAGGGUGAUCGGCCACAUUGGGACUGAGACACGGCCCAAACGCCUACGGGAGGCAGCAGUAGGGAAUCUUCGGCAAUGGACGAAAGUCUGACCGAGCAACGCCGCGUGAGUGAAGAAGGUUUUCGGAUCGUAAAACUCUGUUGGUAGAGAAGAACGUUGGUGAGAGUGGAAAGCUCAUCAAGUGACGGUAACUACCCAGAAAGGGACGGCUAACUACGUG